rnacentral:rRNA from 1 species
GCACAAGCAGCGGAGCGUGUGGUUUAAUUCGAUGUUACACGAAGAACCUUACCAGGGUUUGACAUGCAAGUGGUAGGAAGCCGAAAGGGACGACCCUUCGGGAGCCUAUACAGGUGUUGCAUGGCUGUCGUCAGCUCGUGUCGUGAGAUGUUCGGUUAAGUCCGCUAACGAGCGCAACCCUCGUCGUAUGUUAUAUGUGUCAUACGAGACUGCCGGUAAAAGCCGGAGGAAGGUGAGGAUGAUGUCAAGUCAGCAUGACCUUUAUAUCCAGGGCUACACACACGCUACAAUGGUCUGUACAAUGGGUAGCCAAGCCGCGAGGCGGAGCCAAUCCUGAAAGCAGGCCUCAGUUCAGAUUGCAGUCUGCAACUCGACUGCAUGAAGCCGGAGUUGCUAGUAACCGCAGGUCAGCAAUACUGCGGUGAAUACGUUCCCGGGUCUU